CAAAAUAUUACCACCAUACUGUUGCAAUGUUUCAUGUUGAAUGUGACCUGUUUUUUUCAAGAAAAAUGAAACUUUAGUGUUUGGAGCCAAGGUCAGAAGUGGAUCCAGCAAGAAGCGGAAAUGGUCUUUAUCAAGAACCAAAUUCCUUCUUGUAGCGCCCCAUGGGUGUGGACCCAUUGUGCCACAAAUAGAAGCCAGGCAGGCAGAAUGGUUGCCAAACAUCAGCAUUGCACUUCUAAAGGCCUAAAUCAACAAGCUUUGAGGUUGAGGUAGCUUUGAGAUUUUCACCCUGACAGUGACAAAUUACUCGACUGCUGGCUGAGAUUGGAAAUUAAAAGCAUUUAGAAUUUCUCAUGCAUUUAUGCUAAUGAGAACCUCUGAUAUGAUUUGCAUGCAAAAGAGGACAAUCUGAAAGCUCAUCAGUUUCUUUUUGCUGUUG